AGUAGUCUCCUAUUUACUGUCGUUUUGUUAGAUUUAAGUAUGGCUCCAUGCAAUUUUGAACGAUAUCAUUUCUGAUUUUGACAAUUAAAAUAAAAAUAACAAAACAUUAGAAGACUUUCCGAUUGAGCCCAUACUCAGGAUUACAUCUAAAGGGUGCGGGAAAAAUGUCGUUAUAGAGCGACCUCCUAUUGAUAUACUCAUUAAGGCCCAUACUCAAGAUUUUGAAAAGGUUAAAGAAAACCGAUGACAUAAAGACAGUACUUCUUUGUCUUUGACCUAAAUUCAUACUUUAUUGCAGCAAAUUCUCUCGAGAAACACUUAUAGAAACAACACGAACAGAGGAAUUGGUAUUUUGUAAAGUUAAAUCCUUGCCAUAAUAUUUUCAGACACAUGUUUGUAAAUACAGGCUUCAAGGUGAUAUAGUUUUCUUUUAAAAGAUAAACUACCGAAUGUAAGAAACGCUCAAUAAGAAGUUACAUUUUGUUUAAGAAUCAUAGUUGCAAUUUUCAGAUGUCCUGAAUGACCAUGAAUUCUCUAAAAAUGGUUGCAAACUUUUGUUUACCUAACGUCCAAAAUGAAAACUCGGAGAUACAUUUAACUCCUUGAGACUUUUGAUUGCGAGUUGAAGUGGGCCUAUCGAUUUUUGUUAGGUUCCAUUUAACUGGAAUUUAAUUAUAAUGCAGUAUAUUUUCAUAGCGGUAUGGACAUAUACCGGGCAUAUUUAUCUACUUAACUAGUAUAGUAGCCAGCCUUCACUUCCAUAACCUGUUUACAAAAUGAAACCGGCCAAAUUGAUGGCCGGUGAUUCCUUCGGUCACAUGUCUAUCAAUUCGACUUGUCAGAUUGAUGAAAUUAUUGGAAUCGACUGUUAUAUUCAUAGAUGAAUGAAGUUUGAUUCAUAUCUGAAUCCUUAUUAUUAUGUUCUAGUAUUGUCUAGUUUAGAUUUUGUUUAUAUGGGUGAUCUUUUUAAUAAAUAUACAAACAC
rnacentral:lncRNA from 1 species